rnacentral:rRNA from 1 species
UACGGGGGGGGCAAGCGUUGUUCGGAAUUACUGGGCGUAAAGGGCUCGUAGGCGGCCAACUAAGUCGGAUGUGAAAUCCCCAGGCUCAACUUGGGAACUGCAUCCGAUACUGGAUGGCUUGAAUUCGGGAGAGGGAUGCAGAAUUCCAGGUGUAGCGGUGAAAUGCGCAGAUAUCAGGAGGAACACCGGUGGCGAAGGCGGGUCUCUGGGCCGAUACUGACGCUGAGGAGCGAAAGCCAGGGGAGCAAACGGG